GCUCUCUUAGCAAAGUAGUCAAUACUUUUGCCUUGUAAGCGAAAGGUAGUGUGUUCAACUCACACAGGGAGCC